ACAGGUUUUGUGUUUGGUGGUCAGUUGUCAUCUGUAGCAGCAGUAAAGGAUCUCUUUCAGUCUGAGUAGUCAUCUGAGGUUAGCAGUCAGUGUAUCAUCUAGAACAAACAAGUUUGAACAUCUAGGCUGCACCACACUAGAUUUGGUGACCAACUCCCAAGAUGAUAGUGGAGUUGUUAUUACUUGCCCUGUUACUUCUGGUUCUCCGCUUGUUUGUGUUUAAAUCUAAAGCACAGAGAAUGUAUGAUAAAUUCCCAGGGCCCAGAUCCUAUCCUAUAAUUGGCUCUCUACUGGAAUUUGACUAUCCAAACGUUGAAGUGACAGAGACCUUUAAACAACUCUCCUACAAGUAUGGACCUGUCUAUAUGAUAAGAAUGGGACUGGAUCCAGUUAUAUGCGUCCAG